GGGGGGCUCGCCCUGCUGGUGCAGGGGGGGAGCUGCCCUGCAGCGCGGCGCUGCCGCUGGAUCUGCUGCGGCACCCGGCCGAGCUGGGAUGAGGGAUGAGUUCGCAACGAGCACCGCAAAGGGACUAAUUAAGGGAUCUUUAAAGCUGAGCAGACAGCUCUUACCUGCCAGCAGUGUAACAAAAGCAGUUCCUAUAUCGAGUGCUUUCCGACUCGCUGCGGUGUGGUCAGGUCCCUGCUAGGGAUGGAGCCCUCGUGCUGUCCUCCUGGUCCUGCACGCCCGCACGGUGGCUGUGGUUGCUGUCAGUCCCGGUGGUGUUCCUCCACAGGCUUAGCAACUUCGCAGGACUGGGCUGGCCAAACGAGGAGGGAGUUCACCUGCCCAGAGGAGCUUGCAGAAAUCACAGUCUCUAAGUUCUGUGGAAAACAAAACAAAAAAGAGUGAAAUCAAUUCAAUGCUGGGAGAGAAGAAGCUGGCAGGACUCAAUAGUGAACACCACCCAGUAGCUGGCCUGCUGGGUGCAAUAAUAUUGAAGCAAAAAUCAAAGUGACUCUUGCAGAAGCUGUGAGCAAUAGAUGAGCUGUCUAAAUGGUGCAGCACUGGGAGGACAAAGAGUGCUCGGAAUGAGAGUCAGAGGAAAAUAUGGGGAGGGAGGCCUGUUCUUUUGAGCAGGGGGCAACUAAAUCUCCUGGUGGAAUGUGAACAUCCAGCUCAGGAUGGAAAUGCAACCAAACACACAGCGGGUUUGAUCAGAGAUUAAAAGAAAGCACGGGAAUUCUGCCUUGCAAA